rnacentral:tRNA from 1 species
UGUUCUAUGGUGUAAUGGCAGCACUAGGGUUUUUGGUUCCCUCAGUCCAAGUUCGAAUCUUGGUAGAACAACCA